AGCGGCGCUCAACUUACGGCGAUCCGCCGCGUUAUAACCGCCGAACGUUCAGUACGCCAAACGACACUGAUAUCUCGGCACGUCAACUGCGUUCGCCGUUACCUCGACGAUUCCCCUUUUCCCUCCCGGCAGCGGCACGCGUUGCCGCCGCUAUUGCACCAGCACUCACAAACGCACCACCACGCACAAAUUCAUUACACUGCACGACCGUAAUAAAUAAUACAAUAAGACUGUUCCACAAUCUUUGACGUAUUGCACUAGAUUGAAUUACAAUAUAAAUAUUUACACUGAUUCAACUCGUACACUCAUCCUUUACUUACAAUCAUUAACUUUUGCACGCUUUAAGAAAAUUAGCACAAACCAACAACAACAGCAUUACACCGCCUACUUGGAGAAGCACUUUUCUGUUGAUUUUAUAGAACAACAACAUAUCCCACAAGAAGUGACGUCGCUCACCUAUCAAAAAUCGGGCGUGCAAAAAACGGAGGAGAUGCAUUUAAUGAUGAUGAUAUUUAGUAUGGCCGUGUAUUUAAUUUUCAUUCUUGUCAAACGUUCGGGUGCCAUGACACAUCCAAGAGUGAAAAUGUACGGACCUAAAGUUACUAUUGUAGAUCACCGAAAUCCGGAUCCCACUAUAAUUCCGCUGGACAUUAUUGAGGAAGCUAAAACAUUGAGUCAGUCAGAGCCAUACGCAAAUGAACCAUCUUGUCUAGAGUUACGAAUAAUGUGGCGUUUAUCACAGAGACAAAAGCAAUUACUACAGACAGCAAAUAAUAAUAUACCAGAUACUACUGAUCUUUUUUCAUACAGCAUAUGGGAUGAUUACACAAAACCAAGGUAUUCUAAUCGUCAAAGAUCAUUGAUAAUGGGACGAUCGCUGGCCGACAGAUAUCAAGUUUAUUCACAAAUGAGGCCUUUCGACAAAGUUGCCCGUUUAUCGGGUACAUCAAGAAAAUUCAUGGACGAUCAAAUGUCCAGAAAAGUAAAUUUGUUUCGAUUAGGUUAUCCUAUAUCGAAAAUGCCUGGUUCUGCUAUGCGUUUAACGACCAAAGACAGGUUUCAAGAGCUAAAGGAGCUGAUUCGUCACGAGAAAGCCAAACAAUACCAAAGUAGUGGUACUGGUGGCAAUGGUAGUGAGAAUACAGACGGCGAUUCAAUUCCCGUCAUACCUCUUACCGAUCUUAGUCCUAAUAGUCCUGGUAACAAACGGCCUGGGUACCAGACACUAAUGUCGCAUCCCAGACAUUUCUCAUAUGGACAGUUUGGAAAAGCGACUAAUAAUAAAGUCGAUGACAAACUUUCCACGGCUUCUCCACCUCAGUAUAAAACAUCACCGCAAAACAGUCCAUGGAAUUCUAGAUGGUAAUCAUUAACUGGAAAAAACAAGAUUGCGCUGACAGUGAGGCCUAUGAUACACCGCUAUGUAAAUAAUCAAUACCCUUUCCGUAUACAUAUUAUUAUUAUUAAAAACAUUAUAUCUCCGACAGUUAUGCCAAAAAAUGAAAAGUCGUAACUAGGUCUUGGCAAAACUGACCUAGGUCAGACGCACAACAAACAAAGGGGCAUUAAACUCAAAUUAAAUUUACAUAUAUAUAUAUAGGGAAAUACUUUUAACGCUAGCCACUCGAUUUAUCUUAAAAUAAUAAUUUUUUAUUUUUGUAUUUUGUAAGUUACUCAUGUAUUUAUAUGUUAUUAAAUAAUUUUUAUGUCCAUUCUUUAUAUAUUAUAGGGGUGUCAACUCUAAAUUUUUUUAAGGCAACAUACUUAUUCUACUAGAUUAUUAAAUAAAAAAUGAUCUAAUCAAAAAAAUGAUUGGUCAUUAGCAACUUUUCGUGUAAUAUUUGAAAGUUAUUAACAUUUUUUAAUAUAGACUGGAGGUGAAGAAUUUCGCUAUUUUAUCCUUAAUCAUUUCUCGUAUGCUCUCCUCUUAUUUAGAUGCAAAAUUGUGAAUAUCUCCCGAAGUACUGAUCCAAAUGUUAUUACCGAUCAAUCAUUUUCUUAAUAAGAUUAUUUUCAAAUUAUAGGCUAGUUAAAUAUGUAUGAUGUCAUUAGAAAAAAUAAAGUUCACACCUCUGUAAUAAAUAACAGAUGAACAUAAAAAAUAUCCAAUAACAGAUAAAUGAAGAUUCAUAUGUAGCUAAUAAAAGCUAUAAUAAAAUUCCCCAAAAAAUUAUUAUUUUAAUGGCUAACGUUAAAAGAAUCACUCUAUUUAUAUAUAUACAUAGAGAGUUUUGACAAAUCCAAUAACUUUCCAUUCAAGAAUAUUUUGUAUCACUUUGUUUUUUAUAAUUUAAGCAUUUUUGGACUACAUUGAUAUCAUAUUUUGUACUAUUUAAUUUUAAUUUUAAAAUGUUUUCAUCAUUUCAAAAUAACUAUUUUUUAAACCUUUCUUAUUAAUUCUUAUGAUGAGUCGAUAACAACUUAAGGAUAAAUAUUUAAUUAGUUAUAUGCAUUUUUGUACAUAGAGUAGGCAUGUAAUGUAUGUAUGACUAUGCUAUAUACUCUAUGUAAUGAAAUGUUUGUAACUCAAUAAGUAUUUAUCCUUAAGUUGUAAGAAACCCAUCAAAAUUUUCUGUAAGAAAUGAAAAACAUGGCUAUUUUUAAAUUUUGAAAAAUUUUAUUUAUUUUUUUUUUAUUAUUAGAGAUAAAUAAUAAAAAAUAUACUUUUAAUGAAGCCCAACAAAGGUAAAUAUUAUUAAAAAAAAAAAUAAUAACUCAAAAUAUUUGUUGGAUCACAAGUUUGAUGUCAACACCUGGUGUCCCACUUUAUAUUUAUAAAAGUGAAAAUGUAAUAAAUGCUUAGGUGCGCUGUUGAAACUUACUACGGCUCUGAUUAUUUCAUAGUAUUGUUAAUUUAAUAAUGUAAUAAUUAUUUUAUUAUAUUUAGAUCUUAAUAAUAUUACUUCAUUUAUUUGUAGUAUAAUCUUUAAUUUUUAGAUCAACUUCAGACAGACAUUGAUUAAUCAAAAAAUUAAUACUUUUUUUUUUUUAAAUAUUUUUUUCUAAUUAUUUUUAAUUUCAAUUCCAUGAAAAAUUAUAUGUAGUGCUAUUUUUAGCUCAGUGACAUAUUAAAAAUAUACAUUUAUACAUACAACUUAUAUUCCCUAUAUAUAUAUUAAAUUAUAACAAACUUCCUUUUUUUAAAUAUCCUAAUGAUUAUAAAAUAUUUACUUGUCAUAUCUAUCAACAUAUCCCAAAGUAACUAUAUCUUAUCAAAUAUCCUAGUAGCACGGGGCAGUACCGGGAAGGGUUUAGAAAUACCUGAAUGAUCAGUUAAACAGUUACAAUAAGUUCCAAAUUAAUACACAUGAUUCCUAAAAGUUCCAACGGGUAGUAAGUUUUGCGACAAUUGUCCGAGGACGAGUAGUUUUGGAAAAGAUUCAAAAUUUUCCAUUUUGCUUCCUGUUUACUUUUAUUAGAGAGGUUAAAGAAUAUUCUAAAACGUUUAAUAGCAGCCUUUUUUUUAAUGGUGGAUAUUAGGAAACUUUUUUAUCUUCAUAUUUACUUAUUUAUUAGAUAUAUUUAUAAGAUUUAUUAUACCAUUUAUUAAAUACUCAACUUUCUGCUAAAGUAGCUAACAGGAACUUCCGAGGGAAGCUCAAUGCUACUAGGACACUAAUUAAAUUAACUAAUUAAUUAAUUAUAAUAAUAUUUACAUUUCUUUUAACACAUCCACAUUGGCUAUCAAUAUUUCGAACAUUUUCCCACAAACAUUUGCAUAUAUCUAGUAAAUAAAACAAACUCAAACUUUAAGUCUGAAUAAUUUAAAUAGACUUAUUAACUACAGUGUUAAAUUUCAAAUUAUCUAUUUUACCGAAUUUAAAAUUAAAGUUUUUGUACAAACCUUUAUUUUUAAUUCAUAUGUAUGUAUUUAUUGAAUAUUUUAAUAGUCUGAAGUUGAUAUUUUAAUUAUAAUAUUACACAUAUGUACCACACUAUACAUUAUUAGUAUAUACAGUACAUACAUACUAUACAAAAUGUAAAGGAGUAUGUAUAUACAAAAUAUACAGUAUUUAUAUAUUGUUAUUAUAGAUAAUUUUAAUAAUAAUUAUUUAUUACAUAAAUUUUACGUUAUUUUUAAAAAUGUUUACGUAUCUGUGAUUGCAAGGUAUUGUUUCGAUUAUAUGUUUAAUUGAAAUGUUCGGCGGUGAGGGUAUAGUUAAAUAACAAAUUGUGUACUAUGCAAUGAGAGCAUACGUUUUAUUAUAUUUUAAGUAGCUGAGUAUAUAUAUUUACAUUUUUACUAUAAGAUCUAAAAGUUGUAAUUUUAGAUUUAAUAGAUAUAUUGUAUAAUGUUCAUUAUUAAUGUAAUAUAAAACUAUAUUUAUAUAUCUUUAAUUACUAUUUUUGUUUGUCCUAAUUAUACAUUUAUGUGGCAGAAAUAUAUUUCAUUAUCAGUAAUAUAGUGACAAUAUGUUUUAAUGGGAAUAUAUUAAAUAAAAUCAUGAUUUCUGUGUAUUCAUCAUGUAAAAUUUUAUAUUAACAUUUAUUAAUACUGUUGAACUGAAAAUGUAUAAAACUGAAUGAGUUACUGAUCCAUUUAUUUUAUAAUUCUUGUAUUCUUCUUGUUUAGCUAUUUUUUCAUUAUUCUUAAGUUACUUGUAAUAAAACUCAAUAUUAUUAACAUUGUAC